rnacentral:rRNA from 1 species
AUUGAACGCUGGCGGCAGGCUUAACACAUGCAAGUCGAGCGAGCGGUGGACGGGUGAGUAAUGUUAGGGGACUCCUCGAGAGUGGUGGAGAAUUACUGGAAACGGUAUAUAAUACCGCAUACCAUCGGAUAACCCAUCUUGGAUUAGCUAGUAGGUGAGGGAAUGGCUCACCUAGGCGACGAUACCUAGCUGGUCUGAGAGGAGGAUCAGCCACACGGGGACGGAGACACGGCCCAGACGCCUACGGAGGCAGCAGUGGGGAAUAUUGCACAAUGGGCGCAAGCCUGAUGCAGCCAUGCCGCGUGUAUGAAUAAGGCCCUAGGGUUGUAAAGUACUUUCAGUAGGGAGGCGGUACCGACAGAAGAAGCACCGGCUAACUACGUGCCAGCCGCCGCGGUAAUUC